CGGAGGGAGCUAGCGUUGUUCGGAAUUACUGGGCGUAAAGCGCACGUAGGCGGCUUUUAAGUCAGGGGUGAAAUCCCGGGGCUCAACCCCGGAACUGCCCUUGAAACUGGGAAGCUAGAAUCUUGGAGAGGCGAGUGGAAUUCCGAGUGUAGAGGUGAAAUUCGUAGAUAUUCGGAAGAACACCAGUGGCGAAGGCGACUCGCUGGACAAGUAUUGACGCUGAGGUGCGAAAGCGUGGGGAGCAAACAGGAUU
rnacentral:rRNA from 1 species